CAUCUUACAAAUAGGAUUGUUCGAAAGAAGAAUUGUUUAUGAAAUAGUUUCAAAGUGGUUGCGAGUGGCCGUGGUUCUCUUCCCCCCUUCUCCUUUCCUUUUGACACGACAUAUUUAUUGCUCUUGGAGAAAUGGACGAUACAUAGGUAUAUUACACAAAGUUACCAAAUUGGUUGAAAAAGAAAGAAAGUUAAAUCAAAUUGAAUAUGGGGCUUCUCAACACACAAAAACAAACUGCCGUGAUUUCUACUAAAAUUUAUAGUUUUAAUGACAAAAUGCCUCAGUUUAUAAGCAUUUGUAGGCAUUCAGCAGGAGUUGGUUCACGAAGUUGUAUUGUCUGACGAUUGGUGCCUGUUUUGGCGUUGGAUAAGAGUACUUCACUUGAGGCAAGUUAGUUUUCAUCUUAGAUAAGACCUUUUUGAUUUGCAUGAACAAGAUCAGGGAGAUCAAUUAAAAAUGUCUUCACUUAUCACUCAAUCUCUUACAGGCCUGUAUAGAAAACACUAUUUUUCAAAUAGUCAUGCCAAGUUCUCACUUUGAUGCCGCGUACACCUGCGGCAAAAUCCUGAGCGAAUAUAUUUUGUACACUGAACGUGGAAUGUUUGAAAUUCAUCAGGACCAUUUACAUUACUGCAUUAAUUUGAUUUAUGCCUCUUCAUCAUUUUGAUCGUUAAAACUGGAUUCCAUCUUAAAAGUCUUUGUUAUAACGAUGAGAUCUGAGAUAAUAUAUAUAAAGAAAAUAAGAUGGAUUAUAAAAAAAAAUUAAAACAGAAACCAAUAUGCCUAGGUAACUAAGUAUAUUGUCUAUACAUUGA
rnacentral:lncRNA from 1 species